rnacentral:rRNA from 1 species
AUUGAACGCUGGCGGCAGGCCUAACACAUGCAAGUCGAGCGGAGCGGCGGACGGGUGAGUAAUGCCUAGGAAUCUGCCUGGUAGUGGGGGAUAACGUCCGGAAACGGGCGCUAAUACAGCAUACUAUCAGAUGAGCCUAGGUCGGUGUAGCUAGUUGGUGGGGUAAAGGGCUACCAAGGCGACGAUCCGUAACUGGUCUGAGAGGAUGAUCAGUCACACGGGAACUGAGAGACGGCCCAGACUCCUACGGGAGGAAGGAGUGGGGAAUAUUGGGCAAGUGGCUAAAGCCGGAUACAGCCAUGCCGCGUGUGUGAAGAAGGUCUGCGGAUUGUAGAGCACUUAAAGUUGGGAGGCGUUACCAACAGAAGAAGCACCGGCUAACUACGUGCCAGCAGCCGCGGUAAUUC